GACGAACGCUGGCGGCGUGCUUAACACAUGCAAGUCGAGCGGUAAGGCCCUUUCGGGGGUACACGAGCGGCGAACGGGUGAGUAACACGUGGGUGACCUGCCCUUAGCUCUGGGAUAAGCCUGGGAAACUGGGUCUAAUACCGGAUAUGACCUCAUGACUCAUGUUGUGGGGUGGAAAGCCUUGUGCGGCUAGGGAUGGGCCCGCGGUCUAUCAGCUUGUUGGUGGGGUAAUUGCCUACCAAGGCGACGACGGGUAGCCGGCCUGAGAGGGCGACCGGCCACACUGGGGACUGAGACACGGCCCAGACUCCUACGGGAGGCAGCAGUGGGGAAUCUUGCGCAAUGGGCGAAAGCCUGACGCAGCGACGCCGCGUGAGGGAUGACAGCCUUCGGGUUGUAAACCUCUUUCAGCCCUCGACGAAGCGAAAAGUGACGGGUAGGGCGAGAAGAAGCACCGGCCAACUACGUGCC
rnacentral:rRNA from 1 species